rnacentral:lncRNA from 1 species
GUGUGUGUGUGUGUUUACAUGUGUAUGUGCGUGCGUGUGGGUCAUGUUAGUUUAAGUCGUUUCUUUUUUAAACUUAAAUUGAAACUAAAUUGAUUUUUUUAGUUUCAGAAAUUUUCGAACCGAAAUCGAAUCAAAUGUGCAAAAAUCCAAUCUAAAUCGAAUUGAAAUAAUUGGUUUGGAUUGGAUUUGUAGUUUGAUAGGU